rnacentral:lncRNA from 1 species
UUAGGGGAGCAUUAAGAUAGUUUAUAAGUAUGAGCGCAUUAAUCAACAUUAUAAAUAUUAAAAAAAUGAUAAUUUCAACCUUAUUAAAUGUAAACUUUCUAGUGUUAAUCACAUCCCCUUCUCCAACCAUCUUAAUGCUAGUCCCUAGCAAAUUAAGUGAUAAUAUCUAACAAAUUUCAAUCCCAAAUUGAAGUCUGUUCUCCAAAUAAAUGAAUUUUCUGAAAAUUCUAUCCUCCUUCCUCCACUUUGUUAACAUAUAUGUUUUCAUAAUAUUGAUUUUGAUGAUAACAAACAAAAUUAAGAAUGAUUAAUCUUUUAAGCUCAAAUUAUUUUUUAUACAUUUUAAAUAAAUCAUUAUUUUUACAUUAUAAAGGUUUUAUAUUUAAUGAAAAAAAUGAUUUUAUGAAAUUGGUUGCUUUUCAAGUUUAUAAUUUAAUUAAAAGAGUUUUGAAAACUUUGAAAUAAACAAGUAUUGCUUGAAAAUUUGGAGAAGGACUUAUUUGAAAAGUGUCAUAACAUGUUGGGCUAUAUCAUAAUUUCAAAAAGUUUUGAGAUUAACAAAGUAUUAUUUAGAAAUUCUGAAAUUGGAUCUAUUUGUAAAGGUUCAUAACGUUUUGAGCUGUAAUAUAGUUUUAUAAAGUUUUGGGGUCAAACUAUAAUUUUAAAAAAUAGUUCACUGUAGCAGUCACUGUAGCAAGCGGCUUACCGGAUGUGAAAAACCGGCAAGCCGGAUUUUGGACAGAAUCUAUCCGAAUUAAAAGCGGCUAACCGGAUCUUGACAAACGGUAAUCCGGUUGUUGGGCAGUAAGCUUCUGAAGCAUAAACGGCUAUCCGGAUUUCACAAGCGGCAUACCGACUGUUCAGAAAUUCAAAAUUGUGGCUGUAAUGGUAACAUUAAGCGGUUAACCGGAUGUCCAUAAACGGUAAGCCGGUUAUGACCAAAAUGUGCAUAACGGUUAGUUUUUGAGCUCAAACUAUAUAAACUCAAAACCAAUUCAUUUUUGGUAACCUAAGCAAGCAUAAACAAGUGCACACAACUUAUAUUGAGCUUAAAAUUCAAAAAUCAUCAUAGAUUAAAUCUUCAUUGAGCUAUCAUUUGUAUAUCCACUCUUAAAGAGAGUUUCAUUGUUGUAAUUUUCAUUUCUCAUCAAAUUGUGAGUGUACAAGUGUGAGAAACACUUGGGGUGAAGAGAUUGGGGAGAUAAUCUCUUGAUUGUAAAGGUUCAUUGACACCUUGGAAGUCAAUUGUAAAAACUUGAAGCCUUGGGAGGCUUGGAUAGUGAAAUCCUCAAGCGGGUGAGCUUGGAGGCGUGGACAUAGGUGGGGAUUGCCGAACCACGUAAAAAUCCUUGUGCUUGUUUUCUCUUCCCUUACUCUUUUAAUAUUGUGCAUGAUUAAAUUUAUUGUUUUCAAUUUGAUUAAGGCAAUAAAUUAAAUUGUUGUGUGGCUUUCUUAGCUUAAAUUUUAAAAUCUCAAUUCACCCCCCAUCUUGGGUUGCCUAGUUAGUAUUUCACACUCGACCAUCAAUAAAUGAUUUAGCAAACUUUCUUUUGUGCCCAGUGGUGUUUGACAUAAUGAUAUCGAGGUUUUAUCAGAAUAAAGCAAUACUUUUGUUCUUACCAUCCCGUAAGAGUUUCUUCCUUUGGUAGCAGGUUUAUUUAUAAUAUAUUUUUAACCAAUUCUAACUAUUUUAUGUGAACACCCUCUUUUGAUUAGGUAGGAGAUCUAAUUACUAAGAGAGAGCUAGGUUGAACAAGUCGAACUCUCAUAAUUUUAUGUGAAUACGCUUUGCUGAUUAGACAGGAGAUCCGAUUACUAAGUAGGAGCUCACACAUAACAUGAGCUUGAUAAACUCUUUAUGUUUUAUGCGAAUACGCUCUACUGAUUACACAGGAGAGCA